rnacentral:rRNA from 1 species
UACAGAGGUGGCAAGCGUUGUCCGGAAUCAUUGGGCGUAAAGCGCGCGUAGGCGGCCCGGUAAGUCCGUUGUGAAAGUCAAAGGCUCAACCUUUGAAUGCCGAUGGAUACUGCCGGGCUAGAGUCCGGAAGAGGCGAGUGGAAUUCCUGGUGUAGCGGUGGAAUGCGCAGAUAUCAGGAGGAACACCGAUAGCGAAGGCAGCUCGCUGGGACGGUACUGACGCUGAGGCGCGAAAGCGUGGGGAGCGAACAGG